CCCACCUCACCUUCUGCAGCCUGUGGUCUGUGUGGAACUCUGAUGUUCAGUCUAUGUCCUGUGUCUGUUCUCCUCUCUUCUCUCCUCUCCUCCUUCUGUGUUUACUACUUCUGCAGAAAAACAGCUCCAAAUGAGACUUCAGUUCCUCUGAACAGGACGUCGACCAGGGGAAGUGACAGUAGAGAGAAGGAGGAAGAAGACCUGUGUUAUGCCUCAUUGGACAUCCGUCAGGGACAGAAGAGACCAAAGAAGAAGAAUAAAACCCAGAACUCUGACUUCAGUACCUACUCAGCCAUCAAUACCAGCAGAGUCUGACCUAUACCAGUCAUCAAUACCAGCAGACAGUGUCAUAUACCAGCCAUCAAUACCAUCAGAGUUUGACCUAUACCAG
ensembl:lncRNA